GGCAGUUCUUGGGUGACUCACCCUGUAAUUGGGGUACCUCCUCUCUAGUUCUAGGUGCGUCACCCGAGAAAUGAG
rfam:Myotis davidii contig49360, whole genome shotgun sequence.